rnacentral:lncRNA from 1 species
AGGGGUCAGAUCCUGUUACAGAUGGUUGUGAGCCACCAUAUAUGUGGUUGCUGAGAUUUAAACAGUCAGAAGAGCAGUCAAUAUUGAGCUGAGCCACCUCUCCAGCCCCUAACAAUUCCUUAAUUAGCAACUAAGAGACCUACAGACUAAAGCAGUGGCUCAGGACCAGUCUCAGCACUUUGGAAGGUGACUCAGCAAGACUGCCUAGUUGCAGGCCAGCCUGGGCUACACAGUGAAUUCCAGAUUAGCCAGUGUAAGAAUAAAACAUCUCCAUAUAUGACAUAAUCCAUGCUAUAUGUAUAGAAAGGAACAGAAAGUGUUCCAGAUAGAAAGAAGUCUUGUUUCUCCUGCUCACUCCCAUUUUUCCUAAGAAAGCCAGGUGUUAUGACACACAUCUUUGAUCACAAAAAAAAAUCUGAGAUUUUCCGUACAGACAAGGAAGAUAAAGAAAUUCAUCACUUUUGUGCUGUCCUUGCUUGCUGCCCUUAAGAUUAGGAAUGAGGCCCGAACAGAAAUGCACCAAAGACUGAAUGAGAUAGGCAUCUCAGAAGACAAUGACUUUGUGUCAGUCAGCUGCUGUGAAUCAGCAGGUACCUUCAUCCUGGGCAUUGGCUGAGAGUCUGGUUGUGACAAAGUGACAGCUACUGCAUUCAAUUUCAUCCUACAGACAGCAGUUGUGUGAACCUCUAAGGAUUUCUGGCUAGGCAGCCUUCUCAGGUAGGAACCACGCUCCAGUAGGAAUCUAGCCCAGCACAGACUUGCAGGCUGGAGUGCUCAGGCAGGGACAAGGACAGGAACCAUGUUCCUGGAGAUCCAUCUCUUGGUUGCUGGGAUGGUCUUCAUACAAAAUAGACAAUACAAAUCUUGAGGCUCCUGCUGUUCCCAGUCUGGUGGGAUCCUGUAAUGAAAACUUCUUUCAAUACCACAACAUUUGUUUUUAUAAAAGACUGUGCUUAUAGUGCUUGGGCUAGCAGCUCUGAGUGGCAGGCUCUCAGACUUAGGAGCUCCUUGAGAUGAAGAGACUUCAGGCUCAGCAGCUCCUUAAGUUGACGGUUCUUCGGGCUCAGCAGCUCCUUGAGGUGACCGGAGUUCAGGCUCAGCAGCUCCUCCAGGUGAUAGGUCUCCCUGCUCAGCAGCUCAGAGAUUUGGUCUUUUAGUCUCUCCUUCUGCAAAAUCUUGCAGUUGCAGAGCUGUUCCGACAGGAUACAGUUUUCGUUCUUUAGCCCUGUUGCUUCUUCCAUGCUGCAGCUUCCUUCUCCUUCAACAUUUCCACUGUCUGUUCCAGCGUCUUCCAGUGCUGCUUCUGUUCCGUUAAGCUGAGGGUGAGCUAGCUGUUUUCUUUCUUGAGCUGUUCCAACUGCUCUUUUCUUGAUCUUUCACAAUAAGGUCCUCCAUUUCUUUUUCUUGAGUUGCCAGCUGGGUCUGAAGCUCUUCUACUCUGAUCCCCAAGUCCUUUUCCGACAUUAUCUUCUGCUGUAUGGAUUCUUUUGGAGCAGCUCACUCUCCCAAGAGCCCUUCUUUUCCUCCCAAGAGGCCUUCUCUUCCACUUCCUGUUCUAAGGUCUUUUUCAUCCUCUGCGUGGUUUCCAGUACCAUCUGCUUCCUCUGAAGCUGCUCAUGGAGGUCAGCGUACUUGUCUUUCAGUUCCUGGUUUUCUUGGUAAAGCUCCUCACUGAGCUGUUGCAUCUCGUCUACCCUUUCCUUAUUGAUAGCAACCAUUAUGUCCUCGUCAGGGUCUGGACAGAACUGGAAAGGGACACUUGUUCCCCAGACCAAACUAUCUUCAUCCACAUAGCAGAACUGGUAGCUCUCCUCAUCCUUGGGAAGGUAAUAAGCUUUGAAUUGGAUUUCCUGCUGCGUGGCUGACACCUUGUUUAGGUCUUUCUCUGCAAGGGAGCCCACACGAAGGUAUAAUACUCCUGGGUGGUCUUCCAUCCUACUUUAAAGAUGCAGAUCCAGGCCUUGGGAUGAGGGAUGAACUUUUCAGUGAGGGUGUAAUAGCACAUGACAUCUCCUCCAGGAACAUAGAACUUCUCAACAUUGUUAAACAGGACCUGAGAGAAGUUGCCAUGUUCUAGCAAGGUAGGUAUGGGGCACUGGUCUAUGGUGGAGUCCGGGCACAGCAGCCAGCAGCAGCGCAACAGCAGCAGGGCCCAGAUGGCCCAUUCUGAGAUAAGAUAUCACCCCCUGUUUUGUGGUUAUGCCUGGGCUGGUCUCUGUGGCUGUGAGGUUAUGAAUUUGUUCUGGAUUUAAGAUCUGUUCCUAGAGCUGGUGUCUUACGACUUUCCUUCUGUUACUGUGGCCUGUUCCUGAAGCUGGUGCUUUAAUGGCUGUUUUCAAAACCAAGCCCUGUCUUCCAAAUGGAGACAAAUGGGGUUCUUAAAGGAGAUAAAUGGGGUUUAUCUUUCCCUCUUUUGUGAAAAAAACAACAACAAAAAACCAAAACACAAAACAGCUCACCAAGCUUUCACCAGCAACCUUACUAAAAUGUAUAAUCACACAUAUCCUCAUAUUUAAAUAAAGAAUGGACCAGUUAGAUGAGUAGUAUCUAACUUCAUUGCAGCAGAAAAAUACCUUUCAACAAGUAAAGUUGAAAUAAAGUUGAAGUCUCAGAAUGAACUCAAGGAUCCCCCAAUAAACACCUGUAAAUGGAUUUGAAAGUCAUAGAACAAACGUCAAUAUCUAUCCCAAAAGUUUGAAAAUAAAAACCACCACUAUGAUUGGUGAUCUCUACUACAACACUUGGGUGAACGUGGGAAAUAAUUUACUUCCUUCAAGGCUAUGAUGAAGAGAAGAAAAAACGGGAUUUUUUUCCCUGCUAUCAAAAACAUCUGUGAUGUCUAUCGUCUAUAACAAGAUCAUCAACCAGAUAAGGUUUUCUCUUGUAUAAGUUUUUUACAUUUCCUGACAUCAAGAUGAUGUAAAACACAUUAAAAUAGACACAUGGCCAAGCAAUUAAAAAAAAGUUUUUUCCCAGGAACCAGGUCAGGGUUUGACAUCUUCCUUUAUUUCCUGCUAUAAGAAGGUACAGCAGCUUAAUUUUCUUGGAAAUCAGCAUGCACAUCCUCACACAAAGCCACAGACAAAUCUCAUAUUUUCUCAUGCUGUUCUUCUUAUACAAGAAUUCAUUACUAUAACACAGGAGUGGAGGCAUCUGAAGGCUUACCCAGUUUUCCUUCAUCAUGAAUGCGCUCAUGUAACACAAAGCAAUCAUAAAGGCUUAAAAGCAAAGAAAUCAAUCCUUCUCAGUUGGUAGUGUCAUUUGGGGAGAUUAAGGAAAUGUUCCCCUACUGGAGAAAAUAUGUCACUGUGGCUGAACUUCAGAGUUUACAUCCUUACACCAUGUCUAGUUCCCACACUGUGAAGUGCAAAAAUUUCCCACAAUGACUACAUUUAUAGGGCUUCCCUGCAGCAUGGACUUUUCUCAUAAUUUCCAGAAUGACUCGUACACGCACAAGCUUUACCACAUUGCUUAUUUUCAUGAAGUUUCUUACAAGUGUUGUUUCAUACAUUACGAGAUAAAUGUCACCUGCCAAGGCCUUACCAUAUUAUUUACAAAGGUUUCACCAGAGUGUUUUUUCUUGUAUUGUGAUACAUUAUGUAUUUUUUUUAAAUGUUCAAAGAUGACUGUCAUAUGCAAAGGCUUACCACAUUGUGUACAUUCAUAAGUUAACCGCCCCAACCUCUGUCUCCCCAGUAUGUGCUCCUUGAUGCAUUAGGAGAUAAGUGUGUUGGGAUAGGUUUUAUCACACAGUUAAUAUUCAGAGGGUUUCUUGUCAAUACAAAUAUGUUCAUGAAGAUUAAGACUAUGAAUAUUUGUAGAUUUUACCAUAUUAUAUACAUUCAUAAGCGUUCUUUACAGUAUGAAUUCUUUUAUGCUUUUGAAGAUUCCUGUGACGUACAUGGGCUUUCACACAUAGAUCACAUUCAUCGGGUUUCUAUCCAGUAUGUAUUCCUUUAUGUCUUUGAAGAUCAUAAUGUCCUAAAAAGACUUUCUCACAGUGAUUACAUUUGUAGGAUUUCUCUCCAGUAUGAAUUCUUCUAUGUGAAUGGAGUAUACUAUGUUUUGAAAAGGCUUUUUCACAUGUAUUACAUUUGUAGGGUUUCUUUCCAGUAUGAAUUCUUCUAUGUGACUGGAGGUUACUAUGUUGUGAAAAGGCUUUCUCACAUUCAUUACAUUUGUAGGGUUUCUUUCCAGUAUGAAUUCUUCUAUGCGACUGGAGGUUACUAUGUUGUGAAAAGGCUUUCUCACAUUCAUUACAUUUGAAGGGUUUCUCUCCAGCAUGUAUUCUUAUAUGUAUUUGGAGCGUACUAUGCCUGGAAAAGACUUUGUCACAUUGAUUACAUUUAUAGGGUUUCUCUCCUGUAUGUGUUCUCUUAUGUAUUUGGAGACUAUGAUGUUGGGAAAAGGCUUUGUCACACUGAUUACAUUUGUAGGGUUUCUCUCCUGUAUGUAUUCUUUUAUGCUUUUGGAGACUAUGAUGUUGGGAAAAGGCUUUGUCACAUUGAUGACAUUUGUAGGGUUUCUCUCCUGUAUGUAUUCUUUUAUGCUUUUGGAGAUUACAGUGUUCUGAAAAGGCUUUACCACAUUGAUCACAUUUGUAGGGUUUCUCUCCAGUAUGAAUUCUUCCAUGCCUUUUAAGCCGACUAUGUUGUGAAAAGGCUUUACCACACAGAUCACAUUCAUAGCAUUUCUCUCCAGUAUGUCUUCCUUUAGGUUGUAGGAGAUUACUGUGACUUGAAAAGGCUUUUUCCCACUGGUGACAUUCAUAAGGUUUCUCUCCCAUAAGAAUUCCUUCAUAGCUUUUAAGAUGACUGUGAUCUUCAAAGGCUUUACCACAUUGCUUCCAUUCAUAGAGUUUCUUUCCAGUUUGUACUCUUUUACGAAGUUGGAGACUAUGUUGAGCAAAGGCUUCAACAAAUUGAAUAACUCCAUGGGGUUUCUUUUCUCUAUGAAUCCUUUCAUGCCUUUGAGCAUGACUGUGAGCAUGUAAAGCAAAUGCUUUACCACCUUGAGUAUAUUCAGAGGGUUUCUCUGCACUCUGAAUUCUUU